rnacentral:rRNA from 1 species
GUGAGGAAUAUUGCGCAAUGGAGGCAACUCUGACGCAGCCAUGCCGCGUGCAGGAAGAAGGCGCUACGCGUUGUAAACUGCUUUUAACCGGGAAGAAACCCCAGGACGUGUCCUGGGUUGACGGUACCGGAGGAAUAAGCACCGGCUAACUUCGUGCCAGCAGCCGCGGUAAUACGAAGGGUACAAGCGUUAUCCGGAUUCAUUGGGUUUAAAGGGUGCGUAGGCGGAGCGUUAAGUCAGUGGUGAAAUCCUGCAGCUUAACUGUAGACUUGCCAUUGAUACUGGCGCUCUUGAGUGCGCUUGAAGUGGGCGGAAUGUGCCGUGUAGCGGUGAAAUGCUUAGAUAUGGCACAGAACACCAAUUGCGAAGGCAGCUCACUAAGGCGAUACUGACGCUGAGGCACGAAAGCGUGGGGAUCGAACAGGAUUAGAUACCCGGGUAGUCC